UGACUGUCAGGCCACCUUAAGCCACAGUACGGAAGAAGCUGUGCUGCCUGUGAGCCCCGUCCAAGGACGUUAAAAGAAGAAGUCAGGCCCCAAAGCCACGGUUUGAGCAAACCGUGCUGCCUGUAGCUCCGUCGUGGGGACGUAAAACCUGGGAGGCUGCAAACUGUGGAAGCUGUACGCACAGUGUAGCAGACUAGUGGUUAGAGGAGACCCCUCCCAUGACACAACGCAGCAGCGGGGCCCGAGCACUGAGGGAAGCUGUACCUCCUUGCAAAGGACUAGAGGUUAGAGGAGACCCCCCGCAAACAAAAACAGCAUAUUGACGCUGGGAGAG
rnacentral:lncRNA from 1 species